rnacentral:rRNA from 1 species
AAAUUGAAGAGUUUGAUCAUGGCUCAGAUUGAACGCUGGCGGCAGGCCUAACACAUGCAAGUCGAACGGUAACAGGAAGAAGCUUGCUUCUUUGCUGACGAGUGGCGGACGGGUGAGUAAUGUCUGGGAAACUGCCUGAUGGAGGGGGAUAACUACUGGAAACGGUAGCUAAUACCGCAUAACGUCGCAAGACCAAAGAGGGGGACCUUCGGGCCUCUUGCCAUCGGAUGUGCCCAGAUGGGAUUAGCUAGUAGGUGGGGUAACGGCUCACCUAGGCGACGAU